CGCAGGGGCGCGGAUUUCCCGAGCCAGGGGGAGAUCCAGGUGAUCCCUACUCUGGGAUCCCUAGCGGAGCUGUUCGUUUUGUCCCUCUCUCUCUCUCUCUCCAGGCGAUUCCGAGGAGAUGGAGGAGGAUGCGGGCAGUGGGGGGGCCGCGGAGGGCGGGCCCUGGCAGAUCCACAGGCAGCGGCCCUGGCGUCCGCAGAGCGACGGGCAGCUGGAGAUGUCGGAGGACGAGAGGGAGGGGGCAGCCAGAGCGGGAGGGGCGUCGGAGGACCGCAGGGAUUCUCCAGACGACAGCGGAGGGGAUGACCGCUGGACAGGAGGGAGUUGUCCUGAAGCCAGGAUGACAGAAGCGGCCCCCCUUGACCGCCCGCAGGAGACUGCAGAGGGCAGGGGGGUCAGGAACGUGGGAGGAGGGCUCUCUGCUCCGGCCUGGUCCCCCCAGCUCCCUGUGCAGAGGGCUCGAGAGCCGCCCACAGCGUCCCGCGACAGUGUGGACUGGACCAUCCUGAGCCGGUUCUCCAGCGAGGACCUGGCCAACGGGCCCGACAUCGAGGCCGAGACCUUCCCCGAGUCCUCCUUCACCGAGAGCGUGGCGGGGUCGGUCAGCAGUCGCCCGAGUCGAGCCCCCGCCGGGGAGGGCUCGUCCCCGAGGGGGAGCACAGAGUCCGGGGGCGCAGAGCCGAGACGCGGCGGCCUCUGUCCCUUCCCCACGCCCUUCCCCCCCGAGUCCGGAGGGGAGUUCGGACAGGGAGACGAGGAGGCGGAGGAUGACGAAGGUGUAGGGGCGAGGGCGGUGUCCUCUUGGAUGAAACCUGUGCCCAGCCACGCGCCGUCCCCCACUGACCGAAACUCAAAGAGCGACACCCCCAGAUCCUCUCGGCCUGCCCCUUCUCGUUCUGCAGACGGCCCCGGGACGGCCCCCUCAGAGCCCCCUGCGCGGCGAGGAGCUCAGACAGGAAACCACGGGGUCUCCAGACUGCCAAGAGGGGUGUCCCCCAAACCCUCGUCGGAGAGCUCCGGCACCCCUGUUAUUGAACCCCCCAGGUACGGCCGGGGCCCCCUCAACCACCCCCUCCCCGACUUCUCGAGGGUGGGGCCCAGGGUCCGGAUCCCCAAGGACGGCUACAGACCCCCCCGGGGCCGGGGGUCGCCCCAGAAGAGA
rnacentral:lncRNA from 1 species